GGACUUCCGGGCCCUCAGCCUUAAGGGGCGGGAGUUAAAGAGGAGUCGGAAGUGGCACCAGCACUUCCGGUACGGAAAACUCGCUGCUGCCCCAACCUGGCUUGACAGGCUUGGUCUCUGCAAGUGGCUCUCAGCCCCUUCUUCUUUCCUGCCUCACCUUCAAGUUCGUUUGCCGCCGCCGUCCCGCAGCUGCUGUUUCCGGAGUUGCCCCUUCCCCAUGUUCCGGGGCAGGAGUCCGCAAAGCGAAGAUCCGCCCGCCGGUUCCCCAUCAUGUCCGAACUGACUAAAGAGCUGAUGGAGCUGGUGUGGGGCACCAAGAGCAGUCCCGGUCUCUCGGACACCAUUUUCUGCCGCUGGACGCAAGGGUUUGUGUUUAGUGAAUCAGAGGGAUCUGCAUUAGAACAGUUUGAAGGUGGCCCCUGUGCUGUUAUUGCACCUGUUCAGGCAUUUCUUUUGAAGAAGCUCCUGUUUUCUUCGGAGAAGUCUUCUUGGCGGGAUUGUUCAGAGGAAGAGCAGAAGGAACUCCUUUGUCAUACCUUGUGUGAUAUUUUAGAAAGUGCUUGUUGUGACCACUCUGGAUCAUACUGCUUGGUUUCAUGGUUAAGAGGAAAGACAACUGAGGAAACUGCUAGUAUUUCUGGGAGUCCUGCAGAGUCUAGUUGCCAAGUGGAACAUUCUUCUGCCUUGGCUGUCGAAGAGCUUGGCUUUGAGCGAUUUCAUGCAUUAAUUCAAAAAAGAUCGUUCAGAAGUUUACCAGAAUUAAAAGAUGCUGUCUUGGACCAGUAUUCAAUAUGGGGAAAUAAAUUUGGAGUAUUGCUUUUUCUGUAUUCUGUAUUACUGACAAAGGGCAUUGAAAACAUAAAAAACGAAAUUGAAGAUGCAAGUGAACCCUUGAUAGAUCCUGUAUAUGGACAUGGCAGCCAAAGUUUAAUUAAUCUCCUGCUGACGGGACAUGCUGUUUCUAAUGUAUGGGAUGGUGAUAGAGAGUGCUCAGGAAUGAAACUUCUUGGUAUACAUGAACAAGCAGCUGUAGGAUUUUUAACACUAAUGGAAGCUUUAAGAUACUGUAAGGUUGGUUCUUACUUGAAAUCUCCAAAAUUCCCUAUUUGGAUUGUUGGCAGUGAGACUCACCUCACCGUAUUUUUUGCCAAGGACAUGGCUUUAGUUGCCCCUGAAGCUCCUUCAGAACAAGCCAGAAGAGUUUUUCAAACCUACGACCCAGAAGAUAAUGGAUUCAUACCCGAUUCACUUCUGGAAGAUGUGAUGAAAGCAUUGGACCUUGUUUCAGAUCCUGAAUAUAUAAAUCUCAUGAAGAAUAAAUUAGAUCCAGAAGGAUUAGGAAUCAUAUUAUUGGGCCCAUUUCUUCAAGAAUUUUUUCCUGAUCAGAUAUGAGACUGAGAAAACACCGUUACAUGGAAACCUUCCCAGACAGAGGGAAUGUGUGUUCGAAUACGGUAACGCAGUGCCUUGAUGGGGAGGGCAGCAGAAGAUGACGCAGACACCAGUCUGUAUACAUAAUGAUACGGAGAGAACAGUUCGGAAGUUUGAGGAGUAAAAAGAGAAAGAUUCUCUUUCUCCACUCCCACCCCCACUUUUUUCUUCUCUCAGGAAGCUGUUAAAUACUGUGAGAAGAGGUCAAGGUGCCUGUGGGUAGUAGAAGCCCCUAGCUAGUGAAGCUAAGCUCCUGGAGAAUUAAAACCUAAGUGGGUCUGGGCCGUUUCCCAUUGGGACAUGUCUUCCACUGGGCUUUGAUAGGAGCUCAGUUACCUGGAAUAGCAGAGGCAUCUGGGCCAACCUGAAUGUUUUUGAGUUGUAUCUGCAUCAUUGGCAAGCCAGUUCUAUAUCCAAUACCCAUCUUUCUGUCUUUGUUCUCUAAGUGAAGCAUUUUCCCACUAAAUCAAAUUACUUAACUAGAUAACAGAUAUCAUGGUCAUUUUAUCAGAUAUCAGUAUAGUUUGCACUGAAGUUCAUUGUUGCAAUAGACAUUCCAAUUUCUAUUUUACCACUAUUAUUAGAGAGACAUAUUGACAAAUAGAAAAAAUUUAAAAGCAAGAGGGAAAAUUUCAAAAUAUAAUUACUAAAAUUCAGGAUGUAAUUGUUAAAAAAGAUUGUUAAACUCAAGAUAAAAUUGUUAAGAAAGAGGUAAGAUUCAAAAAGUAACUGAGGAUAUCACAAUGUAGACAAUGUAGACUACUGGACUUUUUAAAACUUUGGUCUUAAAGCCUUCAUGAAAAAUUAGAUUUUAUUGUCCGACAUUAGACCCUUCAGUGUGAUAUCCUCUUUGUUCACAUUCUGACUGCUAGAUUUUUUUUUAUUGGAAUCUGAUGUUCUAGAUAUCUGGAUUAAUAAUACAUUAUACCAUCUUAAACUUUGAGACUAUUAAUUUUAAUUAUAUUUCAAGGCUGCUAUCGGAACUUUUGAUAGAAAUGUUGAUUCUUUGUUAUAAUAAAAAGAAUAUUCCUGUUUUUAAUUUAAUUUGGGGAAGAUUUUGAAAAGUGAGAAAUGUAAAGUGAGACAGUUACUUGUAGUAAUUUUUUAGGUAAAAAGAGGGUUCUAGUCCCUUCUCUUUCGCCUGUAACAGACAUUUCCAUUUGGUUGUACUGUUUGUUGCCUCUGUGUUCCUCUCUCACUGUUUACUUGUUGCCUGCUAUUCUGAAGACACUCUCCACCUGGGCCUGGUUUGUCUCAUUGUCUGUAUAGUUCAUGCUGUUUCCCUCCCACGAGCAUGUGAUCCUGCUCUUGGUUACCUUUAGAGCAGUGAGUUCUCAGUAUGAUCUCCAAGAGCUUGUUAGAAAUGCAAAUUCUCAGGUUUCUCCCUGAAGCAGAGACUUUAAGGGUGGGUGCAGCAAUGUGGUCUAACAAGCCCUGCAAGUGAUCUGGAGGCCCAAGUUAGAGAACAGCUGCUUUAGAGGAAGACCUGUCACAGUCCCACCUAUUCCCAUCUGUUCCCAUCCUAUAGCAGCUCAGACGCCCUCUGUGUCAUAGAUCUUUUCCGAUCAUGCCCUACAUACCACUGAUGUCCCCUUUCCCCUGUAGCCACAAAAUGCAUAGUGACUCAACACUCCUUUUGGCAAUUAGUCACAUACUGCCUUGUCCCUAACAGAUGAAUAUAGUGAUCAUUCCGUAAACUAUUUAUUUAUUUAAGAUGGAGUUUCGCUCCUUUACCCAGGCUGGAGUGCAGUGGCACGAUCUCAGCUCACUGUAACCUCCGCCUCCCUGGUCCAAGCAAUUCUCCUGCCUCAGCCUCCUGUGUAGCUGGGACUACACAUGGUGGCCUGGCUAAUUUUUGUAUCUUUAGUAGAGAUGGGGUUUCACCUUGUUGGUCAGGCUGGUCUCAAACUCCUGACCUCAGGUGUUCCACCCGUCCUGGCCUUCCAAAGUGCUGGGAUUACAGGUAUGAGCCACCUCACGAGGCCCAGUAAACAUUUAAUCAGCCACAAAUAAAUGAAGUUGCAAAACUGGAGUGACAAGGACAGCCAGGAAAAUAUUUAACUUCGGUAAUCUUUACAAUGCUUCAAGUAGGUCCUGUGGAAGAACACUUACUUGCUAUGAUGUAGAGGCUGAUGCAGGAAGAAAAAAGUGGUAAUAUUUAUAAGCUUUUCAAGACCAUUCGUUUAAAUAAGAAUAGCAGAAGCAGCUCCCCUUUCCCAAGCACAUACUCUCCAUCAGGCACUGUGUGCCUUCCAAACACCAUACUAUUAUUUUCCCCAUUUUGACAAUGAGGAAAUUGAGGAUUAGAGAACUUAAGACGAUUGUUUAAGGUCUACACUAGGUAUCUUAGUAGCUGAUUCAGGAAUCUUUUGACAAUGAGGAAAUUGAAGAUUUGAGAACUUAAGACAAUUGUUUAAGGUCAUACACUAGGUAUUUUAGUAGCUGAUUCAGAAAUCCAAUAUAGUCUGUCUAACCAGAGAGUCUAUGCACUUUACCAGUGGGCUACACUACCUUUUGUUGGUAUUUCUGUAUUUUAUGCCAGUUAAUUACUGGAAAUAGGGAAUAUAAAUUAUAUUCAGUUACAGGAAAAUGGUUAUUUAAGUUCACAUAAUUUAACUCUGAUAGCCAAGAGUCAAAUUAUGUAACUAAUUGCAAUGACUCCUGUAAUUAAGGAAACGAUCAAAUUGAUUUUUCUAUUUUCUGUAAGGCAUUUUGAGUGGGAUACAAAACAAUUUUAGGCUUUAGUUGGGAAUGUAAGACAUGAAAAAUUAAACAGUCUUUCAAAAUAAUAGAAGAGAUGAUACAAAGUAGUACUAUAUGAUUCCUUCUCAAAUUAUUUAGACAAUUGUUAUGAUAAAGGUUAAGUUCCAGUGUAGUAAAAAACUAACUAGUGUGUCCAGGAAAAACUUUACAGAAAAAGUAAGAUUUAAACCAGGUCUGGAAAAAGGAAGGAGAGGAGGGCAUUUUAGAGAAGAGUAAAAAAAAAAAUCAUGAAUGUGCAAAAGGCCAACAAAAGAUCUUUUCAUGAUGAAAUGAGUCAUGCUUGUCCAAAACAGAAUUCAGAAAUGUGAGUAGUUGGAUAUAAGACUAAAAAGGUAGAUUAAGCCCUGUAUGAUUUUAAGACUCAUGAUUGCAGGUCACAGAACCUCAGCCUAAAUUGGCAUAAGUGAGGGGGAAAAUACAUGAAGGGGAAGGAGUAGCUCAGGUGAAUUGAAGAAGCAAGCACCGGGAAAGUGCUCCUGGAGUCCUUGAACAGCACUGGGAGGUCUCCACCUCCCAUCCCCUGUCUCUAAAGUGGCUACAUUCUCACAGCCUAUCUUCCUGUAGGAGCUGAAGCUCCAGUUGCCAGCAGCUGUCUUCCCUUAAUUCCAGUUGGAAAAAAUUCUAAGGAGGGCCAUGUGCCUGCUUGUAUCCAUCGGAUAUGGCCAGGAAGACAAGGGGGAUCUAUCCAGGCAGACUCAGCCAGGGGCCCUGAGGGAAAUCACUGGGAGCCAGGCCUGUAAUGGCCUUGAACGCCAGGUUAAGAGGGUUGAACGUGAUCUUUAGCUAAUUGAAAAGCAAGGUUAAGAUAGUGGGAAUAACAUGACCCAUUUUUCUACAAGCUUACUCUGUUAGUGAUAUAUAGGAUAUCCUUUCUUUAUUGAAUAUUACUGAAAUCGCCUUAAGCAUUAUAAGUAUGUUUUCAUUUCUCACAGUGCUCUUUUUACUAAUUAAUGGUUGACAAUAUUCAAAUAUUGGAUAUUUUUUGGAAAAAAAACCACUAAUUAAACAUCGUGGGCCAAAUUGGAAGUAUUGGUACAUACUGGAAGUGUAUUUAGUCUGAGUAAAAGUGAUGCUACUGCUUUUCUCAAUUCAUUGAGAGGAACAAAUUAUUUACAUAGAAAAGGAGAUAUACUUUAGGAAAUGUUUUAGAAGCUUGUCUUUUGAAAAAAGUUAUAGUGAUACAUGCGCAUAAUUAAAAAAAAUAAGUUAGUUCUGAAGAGCUUAUAAUGGAAAUCAACCUUCCCUACUUUCCAGCAUCUUCUUCAGAGGCAACACUUUCAACUUCAGGGCUUUCUGGUAGUUACAACUCCAUAAACCUAAGUUCCUUCUUUUGUCAAAUGAGUCCCCAGUCAAAGGAUAAGGAUUUGAGAAACAUGCAUUUUACUUUCAGUUGAUUAGAAAUUGCCUGAUAUAAAUAUAAUUUAAAGUUUUAAUAGUCCUUUAUUUAUAAUAGGGCUCCAGUGGUCCAGAAUCUUUUACUGUCUACCACUACAAUGGAUUGAAGCAGUCAAAUUAUAAUGAAAAGGUCAUGUACGUAGAAGGGACUGCAGUUGUGAUGGGUUUUGAAGAUCCCAUGCUACAGACAGAUGACACUCCUAUUAAACGCUGUCUGCAAACCAAAUGGCCAUACAUUGAGUUACUCUGGACCACAGAUCGCUCUCCUUCACUAAAUUAAUUUACCUAAGUAUUUAUAAGGAAGAUCUUAAUAACAGAUGUUGAAAGAAGGAGUCAAGACUGGCAGUUGGCUGGAUUAAGCUAAACACUGGUAUCAUUGAUUAACUGUAAAUAACAAUUAAAAACACAUUUUCAGUGUUUAUGAUAUGUUUAAAUUAUUUGUCCUAAAGCUUUAUGUUAAAGAUUAUCCUAUUUUACCCCUUUGUGUGAAAUUUACUAGCAAAAUUAAGCUUUCAUCAAAGUUCAUCACUUUUGCAUUCAGAUACUUGGUCAUUUACUUACCAAAUUACAAACGCAAUACUACAGCAUUUGUAUAUUAAGUAUCACAGUUACUAUUUAUAAACUACUUUUGGGUUUUAUUUCAUUGAGGCACUUUUUUUAUUGUUUGAAUGAUUCCGGCUUGUAAUAUAUCAGCCUCUACAAUGAAAUGCAGAAGAGUUCAUUUUUCUUAGAUCUGUUUUUCAUUAGAAAUACUGACAAAUAACACAUUGUCAACCUGGAUCCUUUGACAAUUUACUUAACUCUGGCAUGUUCACAAAAAGUAGAAACUCUAAGAGACCAUUACCAUUUAUUCACAGAUGUAUAGGGGAUGUAUUCUAAAAACUGACAGAAAAGAGAAUCUGAUAGUCAACACUGUUAACUUUUACUGUGUAAUUGCCAAAUACACUUUUCCAAAUUUGUCCCAACAGCCCUGUAAGCCAGCUUUCUUCUAUAUUUAUAAACACGAUAAAUGCAUGAGAACAUCUGUUAUUACAUUAGUAUAUUACGUUAUUUAUUAUGAUCCUAGUUGAUGGCCUAAAUAAACACCUUUUUCUUUAA